rnacentral:rRNA from 1 species
AUGGAAUCAGGUGAAAACAACAUGGGCUCGAAUGAUGGACCAAACAGCAAAGCUAGCUUGGCUGCGAGGCAACGCUUACGGUGGACAGAUGAGUUGCAUGAACAAUUUGUGGAGGCUGUUACUCAACUUGGCGGUCCUGAUAGAGCAACUCCUAAAGGAGUUUUGAGAAUUAUGGGUACACCAGGAUUAACAAUAUACCAUGUGAAAAGUCACUUGCAGAAAUACAGGCUAGCAAAGUACAUUCCUGACUCUUCAGCUGAUGGUAACAAGGCUGAUAACAAAGAUCCAGGGGAUUCGCUAGCAGGACUUGAUGGAUCCUCUGGAAUGCAGAUAUCUGAAGCCCUGAAGCUGCAGAUGGAGGUCCAAAAGCGGUUGCAUGAACAGCUUGAAGUACAAAGGCAGCUGCAGCUGCGAAUCGAGGCACAGGGAAAGUACCUUAAGAAAAUCAUAGAAGAGCAGCAGCGUUUCGGUGGCGGUGGUAUAAAGUCUGAAACACCUGGUGCAGGAGCUACUGUCACAGCGUCGAGCGAUCAGUUCCCCGACUCUGAGAGGACAGACCCCUCAACUCCUGCACCCACAUCUGAAUCUGCAUCUCAAGGUGCAGCUUUCAAAAGAGACAGUGGAAGCCAGACUGAAGCAAUCAAGAGCCCAUGUCACGAUGAACCGCUGCUAACAGCAGAUUCCAACUGUCAUCCCGGUUCUCCUACUCUCAGUCCGAAGCACGAGAGGGCAGCAAAGAGGCAGCGAGGCAGCGAGGCUGAAUUCCCGGAGGCCGAGUUAUCCCUUCCGCAGCAUAUCUUCGAGUCGAGCUCGGGGCCGGAGUUCCAGCAAUGUGCGGUGCCCUACUACUCGGGUCAUUAG